GUUUGCCCUUCAAAUUUAGCCCUCAAAAAUCUUGUCCCAAAAAUUCAAAUCUUGUUGAUUUCCUACUAAUUCAAGGCUUCUUUGCAUCUUGGUAUAGUUGGUUUGGAGUGGGGAGCUCUAGAAUCUCCAAGUUGAACACAAGUCCAAGUGAAGAGAGCUUGAAGAAAAGUUUUUCGACGAAACGGGAAGUGACUUUUGGAAGGCGUUAGGAGCGUGAAAGGUACAGACGACAGGUUUGCCGAUCCACACGUCUAGGAUCCUAUUACUGCUAUUUUGGGGCGCUCUCUUCUUCAGAGCCCAUAUUUUGGUACAGUCUGACACCACUAUCUGGAUGUGUACAGUAUUCUGGGUAUGACGGGGCCCUGUCCCGUCU